rnacentral:misc_RNA from 1 species
AACCAUAGAAACCUGCGGAGUACCUGCGGAAGGAUCAUUACAGAGUUGCAAAACUCCCUAAACCAUUGUGAACGUUACCUAAACCGUUGCUUCGGCGGGCGGCCCGGGUCCUUCCCGGCGCCCAUCGGCCCUCGCGGGCGCCCGCCGGAGGUAAACCAAACUACUGCAUUGUAUGGCCUCUCUGAGUCUUCUGUACUGAAUAAGUCAAAACUUUCAACAACGGAUCUCAGAUCGGAAGAG